rnacentral:lncRNA from 7 species
GAGGACAGAAUCUGGGACUGAGAAGCCACCACAUCGCUUGUCUGCACAACUCCUUGCCCACGGUACUGAUGGCAGCUCUAUCAGCUGUAUCAGCAGAUGUAAUGACCUGCAGACCCACAGUCUCCUACUAUCAGAUAAACCCAUGUCAAUGACUCAGAUACAGAGAAACCACUCGCUGAUGGACACUCUCUUUAAAAAGCACUCACACGCAGAGGAGUUGCACCUUUGGGACACCAUAAAGAAUGGAUCGAAUAGUAGAAACUUCUUCAAAGUGACCGUCUAUCUCCAGAGCCAGAGUAACAUCUCUACGAAAGGCUGCCUAGGGCUUUGGCUCAGAUUUACUGCCUGCCAUUUGCUGCUUGAUACCCUCCUUCAGAAUCAAGCCAGCCCUGCCAGAAGCCAUGGAAACAGGAGCUUGGAGCAGGGCCCAGCAAAAUGGCUUGGAGGGUAAAGGUUCUUAUUGUGCAAACCUCAUUAAUUCCUGGGACCCAAAUAAAGGUGGAAGAAAAGACUUGUCUCCGUUAAGUUAUCCUCUGACCUCCAUAAGCGGACCACAAGUGCGCCAUGGCACAUGGAACCCCCAUCACACGCGUACAAGCUUGAUGAUAUUAAAUAAAAAUAAAGAUUUUU